CUAGAUUUAAGGCUUAUUAUGGAUUAUAGAGCAGGUCAGUGAUGAAAGAUGUAGAAAAGAAUAUAGACUUGUUAAGACAAUGGAAUGAAAGCAAGUGACUUGCAUGUGUUCAAUGCAUUAAAGAGAGAUGGGAAAGUUAUUUUGAUAUAUUAUUUAAUGGAAGCCACACAAAAGAUUAGAGAACACCAAGUUUCACCCAACCGAGGAUAGAAAUCAUAGGUUUGUUUGAAGAAUUAGGAUGAUCGGGUAAAUGACGCAUUGAGGAUGAUGAAUCCUAUAAGAAUUGUGGACCUGAUGAAUUAACCAAUUUUGUUUGGAAGUGUUUGGGUCAUGAGAUGAAAAGAUCUUUAAGUGAUAACAAACUGUCUAGUGAGUGGUGAAAAAGACUCAAACAUCCAUGUACAAUAAUAAGGAAUAUAUUCAAAAUUGUACAAAUUAAUGUGCAAUUAAGCUUAUGAGUCACUAUGAACUUUUGGGAGAAUAACAAUAUUGGAGAUUUACUUUGAUUUUAUUCUAAGGUGAUCUAUCAUAGAGGUUAUGUUAUUAUAUGUCUAAUGGAAAAAUGUAGAAAAUGUAGAGAAGUCUGUGAAGAUCUUUAUAUGGGUUUUAUUGACCUAGAGGAAGCGUAUGAUAGAGUACCUAUGAGGGUUUUUGUGGUGGGUUUUAAAAUAGAAACAAGUUUCUUUAGAGUAAAUUAAAUUGAUUAAGACCACGGAAUUAAUUAAGUUUUAUGUUUGAUAUAGCUUAAACUAGUUAUCUCAUUGGAUGAAUUCAAUAUGAAGUCUUUUGGUGUAUGCCUUUUGGGGAUGAUAUAGUUUUAGUUGAUGAAAUUUGACAUGGAGUUAAUGUCAAGUUAGAAAUUCGUAGAGAUGCUUUACAAGCUAAAGGCUUUCAGCUAAGUAUAACUUAGUCAGAUUACAUGGAACAUAUAUGUCUAUUUGUUUUAAGAGUAGAUAUCUUCUGCUGCCCCUUAUUUUCUUGGUAAAAAUGCCAUAGUAGUUGGAUUUAGUGAUGCAUUGCUAUUAUAUGUUCUCUCUUAUCUUUUGCAGAAUUCCUCAAGCUUUGACAUAUAAUUGAUUGACAACGAGAGAGAGCACGCUUGUAAGCAUUCAUGAAACGGUCAUGACUGUGUACAUGCGUGCUCGUUCUCGUUGUCAUGCAAUUUCCCAACUGCAGCAGGUUUCUUUGGUCUGUAUACAUGUUAUUGGGCAUCUGGGUAGCAGGUGGUUUCGAUCUCUUAUGUACACUAAUUCAAAAUAUAGAAUACUUAAUAUAACUCUAGGUCUAUAGAACCUAUAUGGAAAUUAAGAAUGUUUGUGUGAAUAUACAAAUUCAAAAUAUAGAAUCCGUAUAACUUUAUAUCUAUAAUGCCUAUAUGGCAUGGCAAUUAAGAAUGUGUGUGUGUGUGUGUUAAGUUCAUGUUAUACCUAGUGUAAGCUUUGUUAAUGUUAAAUUACUUUUUAUUGUAUGUUAUUUUUCAAAAAAAAAAAAAAAAAAAAAUCCAUCAUUGGAUUACAUUGUUUUCUUAUAUACACUUAUGCUUGCAAAAUAUUACUAAAUUUCAAGAUGAUUAAACUACUAAUAACUAUUUCAUCUAUAACUUAAAAAAAAAAUUAUACACAAAAUAUAAGUUUAUAUAUGCUAACUAACCAAGCUCUCUCUCUCUCUCUCUCUCUCUCUCUAAUAUUAUUUUAAACUUAUAAAAAAGGUUAUAUAUUAGGUAGUAAAUACUAUUUGAUUACCACAUAAUUUUGGUGUACAUGUUAAACUUGUAAUCCAAUAGUGGGAUUUGAAAAAUGGAAAUUCAUUAGAAAAAUAUUUAAGUGGUGUAACAUUAACAAAAUCAAAAUGUUACUAUAGGUGUAAUUAAAGAUCUUAAGAGGGAUUUGAAAAAUAUCAAUUCAAUUUAAGUGGUGUAACAUUGUCAAAAUGUUACUUUGGUGUAAUUUGAUCUUUACCAUAUGCAUAUGGGCUUAUGUAAGAUCAACCUGCCGUGAAAGAUGAAAUCCCAUUUUGGGUACAGCUACUUAAUUGGCUUGAAUUUUUCUAAAUAUUAAUGCUCAUUUUGUAAUUUAUUUUUUUAUAUUCAUUAAUUUCAUAGCUUUUUAAUUGCACACAACUUUUUUUUGUUGUUCAUAGCCUUUUUAUAUUUUUGAAUAGGCAGAAAAAGUAUUUUACCUGGUGAUCCCUUUAAGAAACAUGCAUGGUUUGUUGACACCACCCCCCCCCCCCCCCCCCCCCCCCCCAAAAAAAAACCAAAAAAAAAAAAAAAAAAAAAUCCUUUUUUACUUGCUCUUGUUGGAAUUUUCGGUAAUUUAAGGAAUUAUUUUAUAGAAACAUUAAAGGGCUCUGAUAUCUCUUGGGUUUUGCCUUAAUAGUUGGACUUUAUAGAGGGGUCACACACACACAUUCUCUCUAGCCAUGCAAUGGUUGUGUCAUUAUAAUGUAUAACUACUCUAUAAAGCAUUAGAUGGGCUUUGUACAGUUUACAAACACAAGGUGGUUUUUUAAAUUUUUUUAUUUUUAAUAUUAAGGGUUUACUAAGAAAGUGCAAUUGGGGAGGGCACAACACAUGAAGUUCAGGUAAAUUUUGAAAAAGAAUAUUGUCUUGUGGCCUUCAUCUAGAUAAGGAUCUAAGGAGUAAUAUAUAUCAGGUCUAAAAUUGGUAUUUCAGUGUUUCCUUCCCUCCAAAUAAUCACAUGAGACAAUGAGGGAUUGCAGACAAUGAGAAGCUUGUAAGUUUCGUCUUACAUGUUUUUUUCCAUGUUUGUGCCUGUCAUAGAAUUAUUAAUGGACAAAUCUUUCAAUGUUCAAAUUUCUUUUCUUUUUUCCUUUGUUUUUGCUAGGGCAUAUAUGUGGUAUAUUAAACAUUUGUUUUCACAUUUGUUUUCAAAGAUGGUUUUAGUCUUUUAGAUCAUAUUAGGUUUGUGAUUUAAUAUCUAGAAAUCUGUCCUUUUCAUCUCAUUUCCAAAGUCCUAGUGUGUAAGAAUUAUUUCUUUCCAAGUUGGUUGGCAUAACCUUGCAAAUAGCUCUAAGUAGUGGUGCCGGUCACUGUCACUCAUUUGCAUCAUAGAAGUUGCUGCAUAUGCAGAGCUCAGAAAUGAUUGAAUAAAAUUGUAAUUGAGUUGGAAAGAAGCCAGUUGUUGUGUGAGUUGUUGAAAAUGGUUGACACAAUUAGAAGGUGGUAUCCUAUUUUAGAGUGCAAAUAAUGGGUUUCAUCUUUCGUUUUCAGAGGUAGCAUGCAAUAGCGAGUAUGUAAAAAGAUUUUUUCUAUGAAAUAAUUUAUGAAACAUCAUAAAUGGGAAAUAAUUUUUCUUCUUUGGGGGUGGCAACAUUUUGAGCCAAACUGUCAUAGAUUUCCUUUAUAUGUGCUCUAUUCAAGUGAAUCUUUUGUAUAUCUUUCAUUUUUCUCUAGUUAUUUUGGCCAUCCUACUUGUUCUAUGAAAUGGUCCAUAUAUUUAAGAAAUAAUUUUAUUUUUCUUUGUACUCUCAAAUUGUAUAUCUUUACAAUGUUGACAUUCAUAUAUUCUUGCUACUCAUAGGAAAAAGGUCUUGUAAUGGUAUGAUUAGCUACAAGAGUAGCAGGAUGCCAGUUUUAAUUAUAGGGAAGAAGAAAAUAAAAAUAUGUAGAGCAAUUGAACAUUGCUUUUUAAAAAAAAAAAAAAAACCACAGAACUUGAAAGUAAUAUUUAGAUAUUUCUGUGGCCUUUAUUAAUUGAUUAUAAUUAAGUAACUUGAUUGUCUUUCAUGUCCUCUAUGCAUCAACUUAUUUCUUUUCAUUGGUUUAAUGGUUAUGAGAUUAACUAUUCAGGAUUAUUGUAAAUGGUUUGGUUGCUAAUUUAUUUGCACAAGAUUAUUGAACUCACUAUCAUAAAUUGUUGACUACUGUUUAUUGCAUGUUACAGUUGUGUAUUUCUAUAGUGUUGUAUUUACAGGAAUUAAUCUAUUCAGAACUGUGUUUUGUUUCAUGUUAUAUUUUAAAUUCAAAUAAUGUUGCUUACAUUGCUACUAUUUUAAUUAAAUCCAUGUUUUAUGAAAGAUGCUUGUGUAGUUAGUUGAGAUCUUCAAGAACUUUGAGAAAAUUAAUGAUUGUGCUGAAAAGAUAUCAAGCUAUAAGCACACACUUAGAUGGAUAUAGCUAUGAAAAUGACAUUGUGCAAUUUUUAUUUCCAUUUGAGGAACUAACUAAAUGAGUAAAUGUUCAUUUAAUUAUUGGUAAUUUUUGUAUGUCAUUUUUAUUAUUGUUGUCAAAUUUUUCUUGCUAUUUUAUUUAACUCACAAAACUGCUGCACGAAUAUAUAUUUUUAAUCGUUGAAUAAAUUGUUCCUAUUCAUAUUAGACUUGAUCUUGAUCUUGAUCACGACUAGAAUAAACUACUUGAAUGCAGAAACACACUCAAUUUGUUAUUUAUUUUGAUAUUUUUUCGUCUUCAAUUUUCUCAAAUUUGCUCAUAAGCAUUUCGAAGUCUGUAAUCACUACUAUAGAUUGAAUAGAAAAUGGAAGAUUUUAGCCAUUUAAUGAAACAUUGAUACAUCAAUCAUCAAGAAUCUGAUUUAGUUCCCUUUUGC